GGCCGUGUGGCGAAAUGGCAUCGCGUCUGACUACGAUUCAGAUCAUCGCGAUCAGGAGAUUGUAGGUUCGACCCCUACCUCGGUCA
rnacentral:tRNA from 1 species